rnacentral:rRNA from 1 species
GUGGGGAAUCUUAGACAAUGGGCGCAAGCCUGAUCUAGCCAUGCCGCGUGAGCGAUGAAGGCCUUAGGGUUGUAAAGCUCUUUCAGCUGGGAAGAUAAUGACGGUACCAGCAGAAGAAGCCCCGGCUAACUCCGUGCCAGCAGCCGCGGUAAUACGGAGGGGGCUAGCGUUGUUCGGAAUUACUGGGCGUAAAGCGCACGUAGGCGGAUCAGAAAGUCAGAGGUGAAAUCCCAGGGCUCAACCUUGGAACUGCCUUUGAAAGUCCUGAUUUUGAGGUCGAGAGAGGUGAGUGGAAUUCCGAGUGUAGAGGUGAAAUUCGUAGAUAUUCGGAGGAACACCAGUGGCGAAGGCGGCUCACUGGCUCGAUACUGACGCUGAGGUGCGAAAGCGUGGGGAGCAAACAGGAUUAGAAACCCCUGUAGUCC